GUGGUUUAUGGACGGGAUCCCCCCUCAUUCCGGGACUAUACGCCGGGCGAGAUUCGCAAUCAGGCGGUGGAACGGCAGAUCGUCGACCGCGAUCAGUUCUUACACGACAUCCGUGAGCGUCUCCUUCAGGCAGCACAACAGUACAAGCAUUACUAUGAUGAUAAGCAUCGGACCCUUUCUUUUGAUAUUGGAGAGUGGGUUUGGCUCCGUCUUCAGCAUCGGCCGGCGGCAUUCCUUGGAGUAGGCGCCAAAGGGAAAUUGGCUCCCAAAUAUUAUGGGCCUUUCAAAGUCCUCGCUAAAAUCGAUACAGUUGAUUACCGUUUGGAGCUGCCCCCACGCGCCCGCAUUCACAAUGUUUUCCAUGUCGGGGUCCUGAAGAAGUACCAUGGUCCACCGCCGGAAGUUCCGCCGAUGCUUCCACCUCUGUUUCAGGGUCGAGUACAUCCAACCCCUGUCCAAGCAUUGCGUGCUCGUAUUGCCCGCGGUAUCCAGCAGGUGCUCAUUCACUGGGAGGGCCAGCCGGCGUCUGCUGCUUCAUGGGAGGAUGUU
rnacentral:rRNA from 1 species